UUGAAGCAUCUUAGUCAGCGAAGGA
rnacentral:rRNA from 1 species